rnacentral:tRNA from 1 species
GGUCCCAUAGCUCAGUUGGUUAGAGCGUCGUACUAAUAUUACGAGCAAUCGCUAACAUUGGUAAAUGCGAAGGCCGUGAGUUCAAGCCUCACUGGGACCA